GACGAACGCUGGCGGCGUGCUUAACACAUGCAAGUCGAACGGAAAGGCCCUGCUUUUGUUGGGUGCUCGAGUGGCGAACGGGUGUGUAACACGUGAGUAACCUCCCCUUGACUUUGUGAUAACUUCAGGAAACUGCGGCUAAUACCGGAUAGGAGCUCCUGCUGCAUGUUGGUGGUUGGAAAGUUCCGGCGGUUGGGGAUGGACUCGCGGCUUAUCAGCUUGUUUGUGGAGUAGUGGCUUACCAAGGCUUUGACGGGUAGCCGGCCUGAGAGGGUGACCGGCCACAUGGGGACUGAGAGACGGCCCAGAAUGGUACGGGCGGCAGUAGUGGGGAAUAUGACAAAAUGGCGGGAAGUGAGAUGCAGAAACCUCGGGUGCGGGAUGAUGUCUUUUGGGUUGUAAACCAAUUUCGAAUGUGACGAAGAGGGAGUGACGGUAAUGGGUAAAGAAGCACCGGCUAACUACGUG
rnacentral:rRNA from 1 species